CUCUUUAGCUUGGCAUUUGAAUCGGCUUUGCUGUUGCGAAGUAGAGUGGCGGCUUCGGCUGCCGAGGGUCGAUCCAUUUGGGAAAUGUUGUGUACUUCGGUAUGCAUCUCAAUUGGACCUGAUAUCAGGCAAGAUUACCCGCUGAACUUAAGCAUAUUUAAUAAGCGGAGGAAAAGAAACUAACAAGGAUUCCCCUAGUAACGGCGAGUGAAGCGGGAAGAGCUCAAGCUUAAAAUCUCCGUGCAAGUUUUGCGCGGCGAAUUUGUAGUCUAUAGAGGCGUGAUCAGUGUGGGCGCUUGGGGCAAGUUUCUUUGGAAGAGGACAGCAUGGAGGGUGAUACUCCCGUUCAUCCCUGAGUUGCUCGUGCGUACGAUCCGUUUUCUUUGAGUCGCGUUGUUUGGGAAUGCAGCGCCAAAGUAGGUGGUAAAUUCCAUCUAAAGCUAAAAUAUUGGUGCGAGACCGAUAGCGAACAAGUACCGUGAGGGAAAGAUGAAAAGAACUUUGAAAAGAGAGUUAAAGAGUACCUGAAAACUGCUGAAAGGGAACCGAAUCGUUUUCCAGUGUCUAUAAUCCGGUGGUAUAUUUCAUUGGGCGAGUGUGUGCGUGCGUUGUGCUGUGGGCAGCGGCUUUUUUUGGCUGCGCUCGGCGUGUGUGCUGUGUGUGCUUUGCUGGUGCCCCUGUGCUGCUGGUGGGACGUCAAGGUCAGUUCGUAUGCUGCGGGAAAUGGCCGCCGAGGAGGUAGGGCUUACGCUUGCGUUUGUCUGUUAUAUCUUGGUGGACGAGUAGUCGCGGUUGGGACUGAGGUGCCUACAACGUGUUUUUGAGUGGGCCUGUGUCUCUGUGUGCGCCGUGUGCGGAUAGCUUGCUAUGGCGUGUGUGGUUGUGUGUGGAUUGAUGUGGGUUUUUAACUUGUUGCCGUUCGGGACGUUGACGAAAUGGAGCGAUUUGACCCGUCUUGAAACACGGACCAAGGAGUCUAACAUGUGUGCAAGUGUUAGGGUGUGGAAACCCCAGCGCGAAAUGAAAGUGAAGGGCAGCGUAAGUUGUCUGAGGUAGGAAAUGCUGCGGGCUUCGGUCUGCGGUGUGGCACUAUCGACCCGAUCAUGAACCUUCGUGGUGAAAGAUUUGAGUUUGAGCACAUAUGUUGGUUACCCGAAAGAUGGUGAACUAUGCCUGAGUAGGGUGAAGCCAGGGGAAACUCUGGUGGAAGCUCGUAGCGAUUCUGACGUGCAAAUCGAUCGUCAAACUUGGGUAUAGGGGCGAAAGACUAAUCGAACCAUCUAGUAGCUGGAUUCCCUCCGAAAUUUCCCUCAGGAUAGCAGCAACUUAUUUACGAUAGUUUUAUGAGGUAAAGCGAAUGAUUAGAGGAUUCGGGGAAGAAACUUCCUCGACCUAUUCUCAAACUUUAAAUCUGUAAGACCUGCAGGUUUCUUAAUUGAACUUGUGGAUGUGAAUAUCAAGUUGCUAGUGGGCCAUACGGGGUAAGCUCGUCUGGCGAUGCGGGAUGAACCGAACGCAAAGUUAAAGUGCCAAAAUGCUCGCUCACCUAGAUACCAUAAAAGGUGUUGGUUCAUUUAGACAGCAGGACGGUGGCCAUGGAAGUCGGAAUCCGCUAAGGAGUGUGUAACAACUCACCUGCCGAAUGAACUAGCCCUGAAAAUGGAUGGCGCUAAAGCGGGC